GGCCUACGGGGGGCAGCAGUGAGGGAUAUUGGUCAAUGGGGGAAACCCUGAACCAGCAACGCCGCGUGAGGGAACACGGUUUUCGGAUUGUAAACCUCUGUCCUCUGUGAAGAUAAUGACGGUAGCAGAGGAGGAAGCUCCGGCUAACUACGUGCCGGCAGCCGCGGUAAUACGUAGGGAGCGAGCGUUGUCCGGAUUUACUGGGUGUAAAGGGUGCGUAGGCGGGAAAGCAAGUCAGAAGUGAAAUCCAUGUGCUUAACCCAUGAGCUGCUUUUGACACUGUUUAUCUUUAGUG
rnacentral:rRNA from 1 species